CUACGGGUGGCUGCAGUGGGGAAUAUUGCACAAUGGGGGAAACCCUGAUGCAGCAACGCCGCGUGGAGGAUGACGCAUUUCGGUGUGUAAACUCCUUUUAUCAAGGAAGAAAUUUGACGGUACUUGAUGAAUAAGCACCGGCUAACUCCGUGCCAGCAGCCGCGGUAAUACGGAGGGUGCAAGCGUUACUCGGAAUCACUGGGCGUAAAGGACGCGUAGGCGGUUUGAUAAGUUGGAUGUGAAAUCCUAUGGCUUAACCAUAGAACUGCAUCCAAAACUGUCAGACUAGAGUGAGGGAGAGGUGAAUGGAAUUAGUGGUGUAGGGGUAAAAUCCGUAGAGAUCACUAGGAAUACUCAUAGCGAAGGCGAUUCACUGGAACUUUACUGACGCUGAGGCGUGAAAGCAUGGGGAGCAAACAGGAUUAGAUACCCCUGUAGUC
rnacentral:rRNA from 1 species